GUGGGGAAUUUUGGACAAUGGGGGAAACCCUGAUCCAGCCAUCCCGCGUGUGCGAUGAAGGCCUUCGGGUUGUAAAGCACUUUUGGCAGGAAAGAAACGUCGCGGGUUAAUACCCUGCGAAACUGACGGUACCUGCAGAAUAAGCACCGGCUAACUACGUGCCAGCAGCCGCGGUAAUACGUAGGGUGCAAGCGUUAAUCGGAAUUACUGGGCGUAAAGCGUGCGCAGGCGGUUCGGAAAGAAAGAUGUGAAAUCCCAGAGCUUAACUUUGGAACUGCAUUUUUAACUACCGGGCUAGAGUGUGUCAGAGGGAGGUGGAAUUCCGCGUGUAGCAGUGAAAUGCGUAGAUAUGCGGAGGAACACCGAUGGCGAAGGCAGCCUCCUGGGAUAACACUGACGCUCAUGCACGAAAGCGUGGGGAGCAA
rnacentral:rRNA from 1 species